UCUAGAACCCCCACCACUAAAGAAGCCCUCGGGAGCCCUGUCCUAGGGGACCACGUGGGGCAUAAAGGAACUGAAAGGGCCCUCAUUUUGUCUUCAAAACCUAGGAGGGAAGAGGGGAAGAGAAUGGUGGCGUCCAGAACCCAGGACCUGCAGGCCUGAUGCCCCUCCCCACUCCCGUCUUAUAGUCACCCUGCCCAGGGCCACCUCUCUGCCUUGUCCCCAUCAGCUUUAGGGCCUUCCCGACAGAUGGAAAUGGUGCCUUCCUCCCCGUCUCUUCUACUGGAGUGUGCUCCCCUAGUGCCCAGCACGAUGUGGGCACAGAACGGGUACCCAGUAAACACCGGGAACCAUGUAAACAUA